GACGAACGCUGGCGGCGUGCUUAACACAUGCAAGUCGAACGGUAAGGCCCUUCGGGGUACACGAGUGGCGAACGGGUGAGUAACUCGCGGGUGAUCUGCUCUGCACUUCGGGAUAAGCCUGGGAAACUGGGUCUAAUACCGGAUAGGAUCACUGCCUGCAUGGGUGGUGGCGGAAAGCUUUUGCGGUGUGGGAUGGGCCCGCGGCCUAUCAGCUUGUUGGUGGGGUGAUGGCCUACCAAGGCGACGACGGGUAGCCGGCCUGAGAGGGUGACCGGCCACACUGGGACUGAGAUACGGCCCAGACUCCUACGGGAGGCAGCAGUGGGGAAUAUUGCACAAUGGGCGCAAGCCUGAUGCAGCGACGCCGCGUAAGGGAUGACGGCCUUCGGGUUGUAAACCUCUUUCAGCACCGACGAAGCGCAAGUGACGGUAGGUGCAGAAGAAGGACCGGCCAACUACGUGCCAGCAGCCGCAGUAAAAC
rnacentral:rRNA from 1 species